rnacentral:rRNA from 1 species
GUCACUGCUAUUGGGGUUCGGCUAAGCCAUGCGAGCGGAGGGCGCGGUCGAAAGAUCGUGGCCCCGCACACGGCUCAGUAACACGUAGUCAACCUACCCUUGGGACGGGGACAACCUCGGGAAACUGAGGCUAAUUCCCGAUAGGCGAGGGACGCUGGGAUGCCUCCUCGCCCAAAGCUCCGGCGCCCGAGGAUGGGACUGCGGCCUAUCAGGCUGUUGGUGGUGUGACGGACCACCAAACCUACGACGGGUACGGGCGAUGGGAGUCGGAGCCCGGAGAUGGGGACUGAGACAAGGCCCCAGGCCCUAUGGGGCGCAGCAGGCGCGAAAACUCCGCAAUGCGCGCAAGCGUGACGGGGGGAUCCCAAGUGCCGUUGGUCUUUUGAUCGACGGCUUUUCGGAAGUCUAAGAAGCUUCCAGAAUAAGGGCUGGGUAAGACUGGUGCCAGCCGCCGCGGUAACACCAGCAGCCCAAGUGGUGGCCACGAUUAUUGGGCCUAAAGCGCUCGUAGCCGGGUCAGCAAGUCCCUUGUGAAAUCGGGCCGCCUAACGGUUCGGCGUGCAAGGGGUACUGUUGGUCUUGAGGCCGGGAGAGGUCGGAGGUACUCCUGGGGUAGCGGUGAAAUGCUCUAAUCCUGGGGGGACCACCAGUGGCGAAGGCGUCCGACCAGAACGGACCUGACGGUGAGGGGCGAAGGCUAGGGGAGCGAACGGGAUUAGAUACCCCGGUAGUCCUAGCUGUAAAGCAUGCGGGCCAGGUGUCUAGUGCUCCUCGAGGGCACUAGGUGCCGGAGGGAAAGCCGUUAAGCCCGCCGCCUGGAAGUACGGCCGCGAGGCUGAAACUUAAAGAAAUUGGCGGGGGAGCACCACAAGGGGGUGGGACCUGCGGUUCAAUUGGAGUCAACGCCGGA